GCUUCCGCCCGGGAGGGGACGCUGCAGGGGGCGGAGGCCGACCGAGAUCAAGGGGCGAGACCGCCAGCCCGGGCUCGGGGCUUGGGAGGGGGCGGUGGCACCCCCCCUCCACCCCCGGGCCCCGCACCGCCUCGCCGCCGCCCCACUGGCUAGGGCUCGGAGGAGGCAGUGAACUUGGCUGCCCCCUCGAAAUUCCCUCCCCCAGCAGCACACACUUCGGCGCGCGGAUCCGGUGCCCGGGCUGGGGGUGGGCGCGCGCCCCCAUCACCACCACCCCCGGCACUGCGGGUUCGCGCCUGGGUGGUUCCCUUGGUGCCCGGCCCGCGGCUUGUUUACGAGCAUCCCAUUAGUCACCGGUGAGCUCAGGAUCGAUAGCAGCUUCGAGCCCCUUCCUGGAAGGGGAACCGGGGUCGGUUCUCGGGAAGUUGAAAUCGUCUGUUUAGAUGUAACAGGAGAAAGGGGAGGACGAGCGGGCGGAGAAGACUGCAGUUUCCAUCGUGCCAGGAAGAGGGCGGGCUCCGGCGAGCCGAGCCGGGUCUCCGCGGCCGCGGCCAGUCCCCCGCCGACCCCCGGCCCCGCGCGCAGAGGCGCGGGAGUGGGCGUCUCCGGACUACACGCCAGCAGCGGGUGCCGCGUGAAAGAUGCCCUUGGAUGCUUCAGAUAUUUCCAUCUACGUGGCUUCUGUGACUUUCAAAGUCGAUUACAAAUUAGGACCUACCAUAUAACGCGUCUCCUAAAUGACUGUGAGGGCUGCUAUUGAGGGUGGGAGUCCCCGAGUUCAGAUCCGAGCAGGCUACGAAUCCUGCUGAAACGAAAAAGGCUAUAGACACAAGCCUUAGUCGGGUUUUUGGGUUUGUUUUUAAUUGCGUCUUCAUGAAAUGAUUUGAAACAAAUUUUUGUUUUAACUCCUGGAAGUUUGCCUUUGAAUGCUGUCUAUACCUUACAAAAGUCUUCGUUUCCAAUGUCAUGGAGUCAUACAUUGAAGAAAAAUAAUUUAAGAUUGUAAUUUUUGAAAGAGUGAUAAGUAUUUGAACAUAUUUGUAGAAAUGUGACCUGAAAACUCUGCUAGUUAAUAUUAUGGGCCGAGAGACCCCUACUUAGCGGAAGGUUGUAGUGGUUUUGGUUUUGGUAGUUGCUGUGUGAAUUACGGUUCCUGAUGAAUAACGUAGAAGGAUCAAUGACACAGAAAUCACCAGAAUUUGCCUCAAAGAGGUGUGUUCAAAGUCGAUCCUUCAUUUUAGACAAACCAUGCUUUACAAAAUAAUACUUCCAUGAGUGGUGUGUGUGUGUGUGUGUGUGUGUACGCGUGCGCGUUUCUGUGAGUGGGCAUGGGUGUGUACGUACAUUUGCGUGUGUGUGAUUGUGUGUGUCCUAUUACUUUUAGAUCUUGCUGUCCCUUUUAUGGUAACAGAUGUUGCCUAGCAAGCUGUCCACCCAGCAAGGAGAGUUGAUGGGGCUUCUCAUCUGGGAGCUUCAAGACCGAUUCUGUUGUCUCUGUGAUCAUUUCCAGUGAACGGACCUGCCUAAAUGUUCAGGAACCCUAGCAAGCAGAGGGGCUGGGUGCUGCUUGCGUGGCCUGUUGCCAGCUAGAGCCCGGAUGAAAUGCUUUCCCAUGGUCCGAAAUGGAUAACAAAAUGGCCGUAUCUUCGAACAAAUAUUGGUUUUUGUUUGGUUGGUUUUGUUGUUGUUUUAAUAUAAAAUCUUACACAGUGAUUUUUUUUUUUUUAACCAAACCAAAAAGUCCUUUCUGGAAUAAUUUAAUUACCUUUCAUAGAGUAGUCAAUUUCAUAAAAGUGUGAUAUUAAAAAUAUACAAUAAUUCAUAAUACAAAUAAUAGUAAUAAUAAUGUGUGUCAGUCGCUCAGUUGUGUUCAACUCUGUGACCCCGUGGACUGUAGCCCACCAGGCUCCUCUGUCCAUGGAAUUCUCCAGGCAAGAAUACUGGAGUGGGUUGCCAUUCCCUUCUCCAGGAAGUAAUAAUAAUAAUGACCAUUAAUUUUCUUCUCUGUUUCACAUAAGGAAGUGUGUAUAGCAGGAGAAAAGUUAACAUGAGAGUUUUUUGGGUUUUGUUUUUAAUUCUUAACCCUGUAGCUCUUUGACAGUACUUUUGUCUUGAUGGACUCUAUUUAUGAACUGACUAAGCUGAUCAGUCCAUCCUAAAGGAGAUCAGCCCUGGGUGUUCAUUGGAAGGACUGAUGCUGAAGCUGAAACUCCAGUACUUUGUCCACCUCAUGCAAAGAGUUGACUCACUGGAAAAGACCCUGAUGCUGGGAGGGAUUGGGGGCAGGAGGAGAAGGGGGCGACAGAGGAUGAGAUGGCUGGAUGGCAUCACCUACUCGCUGGGCAUGAGUUUGGGUAAACUCUGGGAGUUGGUGAUGGACAGGGAGGCCUGGCGUGCUGCAGUCCAUGGGGUCACAAAGAGUCGGACACGACUGAGCGACUGAACUGAACUGAACUGAAGGUGAUCAGUGAAAUAUUAUAUGAGCAGUUAGAGUAGUUUUAACUUAAAAUGUAUUUUAGGAGUAGAGAUUUUAACAUCAGAGGUGUAUGUCCCAGUCUUUAGAAGGAGUGGCAGCAUUCCAUCAAGUUUGCUAUAUUAAAUAAUGUAUUUCAAAAAAAAUUAAAAAUAAAUUGAUAAUGUAUUUCAGUAGCUUAUGUAACACAUCACCCCUCUGUGAUGAAUGGACUCCAAGGACAGACUCCCUCAUCUAGGGUCCAUAUGGGGUCUUCCUACACUUUAACUGCUAGUUUUUCCUCACAAAUAUAUUUGCUAAUAUGUUUCAACUGAAAUUUCACAAGGCUUUUGUAAUAUGCCAGUGCUGUGCAACAGAAUGUUUUACGUGAAAGAAUGUAACUGCUGUUCAGAUCAUUUACUGUCAAAGGGUGGCUUUGCAAAUGUUUGAAAAAGCAGGAUUUGUUCAUAGGCUGUAUCGUUUUCUCGGAAGUGGUAAAGCUUUCCACUUUAGUAUUUAUUUUGCUCUUUAAAAAUCCUGAUGCAUUUUAAAUAAUCCUUUUUAAAAAUAUUCUUUUGGGGAAGAAGAGUUUUCUAAAGUAAAUGAUUUCUUAUGUGUAUAUAUUCUUGAGCAAACUACUCUGAUGCUCAAGAAUUAUUCUGAAAAGUGUAAAAAUUGAAUUAAAACUGCUCAGAAUAAUGCUCAGUUAUGUGGUAAGCUCCAGGACAGCUAAUCCAAUAUUCAGAACAUUUUCAUUUUUAAAAGAAUUAUAUUGAAGAAAUACUAACGUAUAAACAAGCAAUUACAGAGUGACUACAGCCAGUGACUUACAUUUCUUAUUCAUUCAUCCCUGAAUUCUGUUGUGUUUGAAUUUUGAGAAUAUGUUUCUAUAUUAAAACACAUACACACUUUUUUCCCCUAAAGACUUUCCAUGAUGGAAAUUAAAAGUUUACAUUAAUGGCUAUAUAACAUUACUGAAUCAUCAAGACAAACAAAAACUGUUCCUUCUCAGAAAAUCCCUCUUCCUUGGAAUUCUUGGCCCUGAAAUAUAAUAUAGCUUACGUUUUGCAUGGCUAAAUUGAUGUCCUGCGAUGCUGUGCUGCUGAGUUAAAGCCUUGUUUAUCUUCUAUUUGUUUUUUUGUUUUGUUUCUAU
ensembl:lncRNA